rnacentral:rRNA from 1 species
UACAGAGGUCCCAAGCGUUGUUCGGAUUUACUGGGCGUAAAGGGUGCGUAGGUGGCCGGAAAAGUCUGGUGUGAAAUCUUGGAGCUCAACUCCGAAACUGCAUUAGAUACUGAUCGGCUAGAGGAAUGGAGGGGAGACUGGAAUUCUCGGUGUAGCAGUGAAAUGCGUAGAUAUCGAGAGGAACAUCAGUGGCGAAGGCGAGUCUCUAGACAUUUCCUGACGCUGAGGCACGAAAGCCAAGGGAGCAAACGGG